GCAAUAUACGUAACCUUAACAUUUAUACCCCCAUAAUAUGCUGAAAUUAAAAAAUGCAGAUUUCCGGGACCUCUAGACCUGCCAAGUCAGCAUGUCUGGAGGUGGAGCCUGGGCACGUGCGUGUGUACCAAGCUUCUUGAGUGAGCCAGCCAUAAGCCCCUACAUAAGAACCAUGGUGCAGCGUAGAUUAAACAGGCUGGAUUAUCAGAAAGGCUUGAACCUGGCCUUGAAGGGUGAGCAAAAUUUGGAGGCAUCGUAGUGUUUCAGUUGGGGAGAAUGGCCUGAGGGCUUGCAGCAUGUAGGGGUCAGUGGCCGGUGAUGAUGAGGUCUUGGUGACCCGAGGAAGUGAGUGGAGCAGUGGGGACCUCAGGUGGGUGGAUCUAGACUUGCCAUGGUGCGGAAUGGGGAGCUACUGACCGUGUUCCAUUAGGACUGUGACACAGUGACAAUGGGAAGGAAGCUGUCUCAGGGGCACCCAGUGCUCCUUUCUUCCUCUUUGGCAGCUUCCUGAGCUGCUCCCCCUUGUCACAUUUCCCCCAGGGUUUCUCAAUUGUACAGUAAGAGCCUCCCGGGGGAGAUGGUAAACACCCAUGUGGGGCAACAUCCUCCAGUAACUGGAAGAGGCCCUGGGAGGCCGGCGGGCAGUGCACCUGGGGAGCGGAUAGAAUGGGGGGGGCAGGGCUCUCGGGUGGCCCCAGCUGCUGCUGCUGCUGCUCCGUGUCUCAGGUAAGGAGAGCAGGUGAGGAUGCUGGGGAGAGGGCACAGGUAGAAGGCUGUAGACAGCCGAGCAGAGGAACAAGGGCGAGCAGUUGUCUCUCAUUUCUUACGAUGGACUGGAACGGGAGAAGGAGGGUCUGUGUUACCGACAGGACAGGGAAAAGGGAGGGGGUGGAUGUGCCUGCACUGGCCCCCCACCCAGCAGGGAUGGGCAAGGAAACGAGCUGGAGGUUCCUCUAGUGCAUCUUGAAGUUGAAAAAAUGAGCUGGAGUCAACCAAGCAAUCCCGCAGCGCUGCGCUGGUGUGCGGGGGAUGUGAAGAGGCGACGGGCAAAGCUCCCCCACGGGGCUAUUCCCCUACGGGGCUAUUCGGGAACUGUGCAGAGGAGGCGUCAGCAGAGGAGAAGCAUCAUGAAAUACGCCUCCAGCCUGAAGGCCUGGCAGCGGGUGAGGGGCCAGGUCCCCCAGAGACUCUGGCGCUCACAGAGACUGGAAAUGAAGACCUCAACCAGGCCCAGGCAGGGAGGUACCUGCUGGAGGAUUAUCCCACUGAAGCCAUAACCAGGGUGACAGUGACAGAGCUCCAGAGGGAGGACUUGGGGCUGAACCAGUGCGUGAUCCACCGUCUUUUCAGGACCCCGUUGUCCCAUACCAUCAGACUCAGCUGGUACGGUGCAAAGGUGAGCAACUUUGAGAACAGGGAGGGUCGCCUCAGGCACAGAUAACAGGCUGGGACCUCAUCUGUCAUGAGGGGCCACUUUGAGAGAGAGAGCGCAGAGCAACGGGGAAAGUUCCAGACCCGAAAUCAGGGCACCUGGGUCUUCCACUCUGUUGCUUUGUGACCUUGAGAAAGUCAUAGCUCAUCCCUGGGCCUCAGUUUUCUCACCUGUACGACAAGGAAGCUGAACCAGGUGAUCUCAAAAGUCACCUUUCCUGUGGCAGAGAACCUGCUGGAGAAAGCGGGUAACUGAGCAUGUACCGUGUGCCGAGCCUUGGAUUUGUCAGUCUCCCUGCUGUGGAACAAGCACUGCUGUCCCCGCUGAGCAAGGGGACAUUCCGGAGGCUAAGUUAUUCACCGUGUCAUUCUGCAGGUGAGUGGUACAGCCGGGGUCCCACAGACACCCAUCUGAUCAUCGCUGGUGAAUCUGGGAAAGGGUCCCUGAGUGGCCAAUACACAGCUGCUCCCUUUCUCAAGGGAUUUAUUAAUAAAAAGCAGUAGAUGAGGAAUAGACAUCAGAGGGCAGCAUGAAGGGCAUUUCACUGACCUCCACCUGCUCUUGCUUGGUGGGAGCACUACGAGUUCCCCCUUCUCCUUUGCUAGAGCCUGUCUGCCCACGUGGGGAGCUGGAACAGGGACAGAGGAGCUGAUGCUUCUGCCCCUAGCAAAACAAACCUGUCCUUCCAGGCCGGUGAGUUCGAGAGGCCACUGUGACCACAGAGUGUUGCUGUCCUGCUAGCUGGAUGUGGCUGACCCGAACACGUGAACGUCAGGGCAGAGCUGGGCUGAAGUUGAACUUCAUGAGAUCUACACACAGUUGACCAAGCAAAGGGAUAGCGCCAGUCCUACAGGACUGUAGGAGCCCACUGAAGCCCUGUGAUAGAAGAACAGAAUCCCUCAGUCCUUGAGAAACAUCCAGUGAUAUCAGUGAGCGACAGGCUGGUUACAAAUCAGUUAUGCAGCCAGUGGAGCUGGCCUCGGCUCACGGACAUUUUAUUAGCCUGGUCUUAGUACCGUGUGCUAUGGAGGUACUAAACCGCAAAGGCAAGGGCGGCCAUUGCUGCGUAAGAGAAGGUUCUGGAUUCUCCAUUCCUGUGUGCCCUGCACAUACUUAGUGAUCUUGGACAAGUACUUCACCUUUUGUCUAGGCCUCUGUCACUCCUGUCAGUGGGCUUCCCCAUGGUGACAUUUGAUGGCUCUGCCCUUUUCGUUUCCUGUGUCUUUACUGAGUUUGGAGAAAUAAAGGACCUAUAGUUUACACUUGGCAACAGUGGCCCACUCCAGGCACCAGGGGAUGGCUCGGGCCCUCCGUCAUUGGAUUUUGGCCCACUUCUUUAACCCAAGCCUUAAUAAAGACAAGAGAAAUGAUCGAGAAAGACUGAGCCUGUAUGAUUAAAUGAGAGCUGUAUCAAGUGGAAUAAGGCUAGACUAAAUAUAAUUAUUUUCAUCAAA